GCCUUUACGGUGUAGUGGGCAGCAUACUGGAUUUGUAUUCCAGAGGUCCGUGGUUCGAGUCCCGGCGAAGGCG
rnacentral:tRNA from 1 species